rnacentral:sRNA from 1 species
UUCGGUUCCAUAAAAAGCCAUUUUUGAUGGGUGAAUAUCAACCAAUUGUACAAAAAAACGAUAUUUAUCACUUUUUCAUCAGAUCUUACUGGACAAAUGGCUCCGCAAUUGGUGUACUAGAUACCGACACAGAUUUAGUGUCUUUUUUAAUGUAAAGGUAAUAUAGAUGUCUAAGAUUAAAGGUAACGUUAAGUGGUUUAAUGAAUCCAAAGGAUUCGGUUUCAUUACUCCUGAAGAUGGCAGCAAAGAUGUAUUCGUACACUUCUCUGCUAUCCAGAGCAAUGGCUUCAAAACUCUUGCUGAAGGUCAACGCGUAGAGUUUGAAAUUACUGACGGCGCUAAAGGCCCAUCUGCUGCUAACGUUAUCAGCCUGUAAGUUAACAGCCAGAAUUUCAAAAACCCGCCGCUUUGGCGGGUUUUUUUUU